UGUGAUCUAGAAGAAGUUACUAUAAAGGUGGGUGCACAACUGGUUUAUAAACUGUACUCAGAGUAGUAAUCAAUGGUUUGCUGUUAGGCUGCAAAGG